rnacentral:rRNA from 1 species
AGGUUAAUGAGGCGAACCGGGGGAACUGAAACAUCUAAGUACCCCGAGGAAAAGAAAUCAACCGAGAUUCCCCCAGUAGCGGCGAGCGAACGGGGAGCAGCCCAGAGCCUGAAUCAGUGUGUGUGUUAGUGGAAGCGUCUGGAAAGGCGCGCGAUACAGGGUGACAGCCCCGUACACAAAAAUGCACAUGCUGUGAGCUCGAUGAGUAGGGCGGGACACGUGGUAUCCUGUCUGAAUAUGGGGGGACCAUCCUCCAAGGCUAAAUACUCCUGACUGACCGAUAGUGAACCAGUACCGUGAGGGAAAGGCGAAAAGAACCCCGGCGAGGGGAGUGAAAAAGAACCUGAAACCGUGUACGUACAAGCAGUGGGAGCACGCUUAGGCGUGUGACUGCGUACCUUUUGUAUAAUGGGUCAGCGACUUAUAUUCUGUAGCAAGGUUAACCGAAUAGGGGAGCCGAAGGGAAACCGAGUCUUAACUGGGCGUUAAGUUGCAGGGUAUAGACCCGAAACCCGGUGAUCUAGCCAUGGGCAGGUUGAAGGUUGGGUAACACUAACUGGAGGACCGAACCGACUAAUGUUGAAAAAUUAGCGGAUGACUUGUGGCUGGGGGUGAAAGGCCAAUCAAACCGGGAGAUAGCUGGUUCUCCCCGAAAGCUAUUUAGGUAGCGCCUCGUGAAUUCAUCUCCGGGGGUAGAGCACUGUUUCGGCAAGGGGGUCAUCCCGACUUACCAACCCGAUGCAAACUGCGAAUACCGGAGAAUGUUAUCACGGGAGACACACGGCGGGUGCUAACGUCCGUCGUGAAGAGGGAAACAACCCAGACCGCCAGCUAAGGUCCCAAAGUCAUGGUUAAGUGGGAAACGAUGUGGGAAGGCCCAGACAGCCAGGAUGUUGGCUUAGAAGCAGCCAUCAUUUAAAGAAAGCGUAAUAGCUCACUGGUCGAGUCGGCCUGCGCGGAAGAUGUAACGGGGCUAAACCAUGCACCGAAGCUGCGGCAGCGACGCUUAUGCGUUGUUGGGUAGGGGAGCGUUCUGUAAGCCUGCGAAGGUGUGCUGUGAGGCAUGCUGGAGGUAUCAGAAGUGCGAAUGCUGACAUAAGUAACGAUAAAGCGGGUGAAAAGCCCGCUCGCCGGAAGACCAAGGGUUCCUGUCCAACGUUAAUCGGGGCAGGGUGAGUCGACCCCUAAGGCGAGGCCGAAAGGCGUAGUCGAUGGGAAACAGGUUAAUAUUCCUGUACUUGGUGUUACUGCGAAGGGGGGACGGAGAAGGCUAUGUUGGCCGGGCGACGGUUGUCCCGGUUUAAGCGUGUAGGCUGGUUUUCCAGGCAAAUCCGGAAAAUCAAGGCUGAGGCGUGAUGACGAGGCACUACGGUGCUGAAGCAACAAAUGCCCUGCUUCCAGGAAAAGCCUCUAAGCAUCAGGUAACAUCAAAUCGUACCCCAAACCGACACAGGUGGUCAGGUAGAGAAUACCAAGGCGCUUGAGAGAACUCGGGUGAAGGAACUAGGCAAAAUGGUGCCGUAACUUCGGGAGAA